CCUACGGGUGGCAGCAGUGAGGAAUUUUGGACAAUGGGGGAAACCCUGAUCCAGCGACGUCGCGUGGAGGACGAAGGUCUUCGGAUUGUAAACUCCUUUUAUCCAUGAAUAAAAAAUCUGCGGAAACGCGGAGAUUGAAUGUAAUGGAUGAAUAAGCCACGGCUAACUUCGUGCCAGCAGCCGCGGUAAUACGAAGGUGGCAAGCGUUACUCGGAAUUACUAGGCGUAAAGGGCAGGUAGGCGGCUUGAUAAGUCUGUUGUGAAAGCUCCUGGCUUAACCGGGAGAGGUCAACGGAAACUGUCGAGCUUGAGUGUAGGAGAGGGUACUGGAAUUCCCGGUGUAGCGGUGAAAUGCGCAGAGAUCGGGAGGAACACCAACGGCGAAAGCAGGUACCUGGACUACUACUGACGCUCAGCUGCGAAAGCUAGGGGAGCAAACA
rnacentral:rRNA from 1 species